UUGCUCUUUUGGGUUUCUAGGUCGGAUCUGUCGAGUUCUCCCGCUGCACCCUGGCGCCGAACUGCCGUCUGCUGCCGCCCGAGGUCACCAUCACCGGGAGGAGCGACGGCAGUCCACGUCGUCAUUGCCAUCGUCCUUCAGCUGAAGAAAAUGUGCAAGGAGGGCGCAUAUUGGGGUGCUGUUGCUGGAGUGUAUGUAAGCAUGGAGUAUGGAGUGGAAAGGGUCCACGGAGAGUAUGACUGGAUGCGGCAGCUCAAGGGCGAGGUCGACAUCUUCUCCAGGGCUGACGGGUCGGCGCUGUUCGAGAUGGGCAACACCAGGGUCAUCACCGCCGUCUACGGCCCCUGA
rnacentral:rRNA from 1 species